GGUUUUGUAGUGUAGCGGUUAUCACUCCGGAUUCUGACCCUCUCAGCUCUUUCCGGCAACCCCGGUUCGAUUCCGGGCAAGACCU